GGGAGGUAGUGACAAUAAAUAACAAUACGGGGUUCUUUAGGAUCUCGUAAUUGGAAUGAGUACAAUUUAAAUCUCUUAACGAGGAACAAUUGGAGGGCAAGUCUGGUGCCAGCAGCCGCGGUAAUUCCAGCUCCAAUAGCGUAUAUUAAAGUUGUUGCAGUUAAAAAGCUCGUAGUUGAAUUUCGGGGUUAGUAGGUUGGUCAUGCCUCUGGUAUGUACUGAUCUCACUGAUUCCUCCCUCUUGACGAACUGUAAUGUCAUUAAUUUGGUGUUGCAGGAAAUCAGGACUGUUACUUUGAAAAAAUUAGAGUGUUUAAAGCAGGCUAAGGCUUGAAUACAUUAGCAUGGAAUAAUGAAAUAGGACGUUAAUCCUAUUUUGUUGGUUUCUAGGAUCGACGUAAUGAUUAAUAGGGAUAGUUGGG
rnacentral:rRNA from 1 species